rnacentral:rRNA from 1 species
GCACCACCAGGGGUGAAGCUUGCGGUUUAAUUGGAGUCAACACCGGAAACCUUACCGGGAGCGACAGCAAGAGUGAAGGCCAGAUUGAGGGUCUUGCCAGACAAGCUGAGAGGAGGUGCAUGGCCGUCGCCAGUUCGUGCCGUGAGGUGUCCUGUUAAGUCAGGCAACGAUCGAGACCCACUUCCCCUGUUGCCACUGAGGAAAAAUUCUGAUGGGCACUCUGGGGGGACUGCCGCUGAUAAAGCGGAGGAAGGAGUGGGCCACGGCAGGUCAGUAUGCCCCGAAUCUCCCGGGCCACACGCGAGCUGCAAUGGUAGGGACAAUGGGUUCCGACCCCGAAAGGGGAAGGUAAUCCUCAAACCCUGCCUCAGUUGGGAUCGAGGGCUGUAACCCGCCCUCGUGAACAUGGAAUCCCUAGUAACCGCGUGUCAUCAUCGCGCGGUGAAUAGGUCCGUGCUCCUUGCACACACCGCCCGUCGCUCCAUCCGAGUUUGGCCCUGGUGAGGCGUGGCCUCAUUGGUCAUGUCGAGCCUAGGUUAGGCAAGGAGGGAG